CCUCAGCCAAAGACUCCAUAUUUAAAGCCAUAAUAGAAUACUCUUUAUCUAAACAACAGCAAAGAAUCAAGAACAAGUAAAUUUAACUGAAUUUUUGAAGAAAUCUUUAGGGAAAGGAAGCAGAUAGUGGUGGAUUGAGGUGCUGGCACUUUGCAAGAAAAGUGGGCGUGACAAAGAUUGGUGUCUGAAAGAUUAAGUUGGGGUUUUUAAGUAGGCACAUUGGGAGUCGGAAACGUGAUGCGAUGGACUUGUCACUAGAGGCGCUAACAUUUUAUUUUUGUUUGAUUAAUUAAAUUUAAAAGUACUUUUCAAAAAGUGUAAAAAUUAUUUUUUUUUGUUUCUCUAAAAUUACUUCUGUCAAAAGUUUGAUCAAAUAAUUUUAACUUUAAAAAAAAAUACUUUUAAGAUUAGAAAAAUUUGGCCAAACAAGCUAUAAAUUUCUUUGAUGGUGCCGGAAUAUCUUAUCAAAGUCACUUUUAUUUUAUUUAGGACAAUAAAGUCACCCAAUAAUAUUUUUUUUGACUCAAAAAUAAAAACUACACAUUUAAUAUACCAUAUCAUAUUAAAACUUUGUUUUUUUAUUAAUAAAAUUCAUCUAACUCAUGACCCGUUUACUUAUCAAACCUACCUAUCAAGUAAAUGAGUCUACGUUAAAAUUUCUAGUCUAUUCAUAUUUUCACAUAUUCCUUCGUGAAAUCAAAGGAUGUUUUACAUAGAACUUAUCAAAUUAGUCAAUCAUAGCUUAGACAACGAGUCCUUGAUAUACCUUUUUAAUUUAAUUCCAUUAAUUAACUUUUUUUUUUCUUUUGCUGGUUCAUGACUUCAUGGAGAUGCAGCUGGCGAUGGAGUUGAUUGGCCCUCUUAAGCAAAAUAAGAGUAGAAACUCUACAAAAAUUUAGGAAUAAUUUAUUUACCAUCUUUUGUUAGUUAUGUGCAACUUUUUUUUUUUGAUGAACUACCUAUGUGAACUACCUAGGUGAGUUGCUCUGAUGGUAAGCACCCUCCACUUCCAACCAAGAGGUUGUGAGUUCGAGUCACCCAAAAGCAAGGUGGGGAGUUCUUGAAGGGAAGGAUGCCGAAGGUCUAUUGGAAACAAUCUCUCCCCACUAGUGAGAUUAUACUGGGUUGUUGUUAUUGUUGUUGCUGUACCUAUGUGAAACACUUCUUUAGGCACAUUAUCUAUGUCUUUCGUUUGCUAAAACUAGUGUUCAUAUUAUAGUUUGAAAUGGAUAUUAGGUAAAUGCACAAUUUCAAUUAUGAGCCAACCUUGCAAGCUUCUGUAAUCGUGUUGGUGAUAGAGUUUAAAGUGGCUAUUUAAUGCUAUUCAUGUGGUCCUUGUAGAUCACGGAACUAUAGCAAUUGAAUAUUAGGUGAUUUUCAAUUAAACAAACGCAAAGAGAGAGUUUUACCUAUAAUUUCAAAACAAAGUAAUCGGAACUGCUUAACAUUAAUAUAUUAACCGCUUAACAUGGACCAUUAGCCAAAAGUUAAAAAACAAUAACCGUCUUUCUUACUAUUAACAUGAACAAAUAGUAAUCGUGUUAGAUUUGCCUGUAGUUUGAAAACAAAGAGUUCUUAACGUUAAUAUAUUGAUAGUAAACCCAUUUUUUGGUUGGGUGGGUUAAAUGGGUACUUGGGCCAUGGGUAAAAUGGAUUUUUUAAUUAAAAAAUAAAAUUUAAAAAUGAUAUAAUAUAUUAAAUAUGUGCUUUUUAUUUGCUGAGUCAAAAGGCAAUUGUUGGGUGACAUUGUUGUCCUAAAUAAAAUUAAAUUGACUUUAGUAGGAUAUCCCCAAACUUAGGUGACCAUCCAAGGAAUUUACUCAAAAUUUCGAAGUCUAUGGGUUUUGUUAACGGAAUUUUUUUCUUCAUAUAUACACGAAAUACAAACUAUUUUACCUUGUUCAUCUAAAGUUGCUAAUUACUAAAAUUAACUGAAUUAUUUUUAUAAUUUGUAUAUAUUUGUGAGUUGAUCCCCUUCAAUUAAGCAUUAACACCUUCAAUUAAGGGAACCUUUUUCCUACUUCCUUUUUAUCUCCUCUCCUCUUUCCCUCCUCCUCCCAAAUUUGACAAAUCCAGUUAGAGCUUCAAAUUUGACAAAUUUUAAUACAAUUUUCUACAAUAAUUUAUAGUAUAUAAUAAUCAAGUUUAUAUGUAUUAAAGUUUAGACGAAUACAAUAAUAAUAAUAAUAUAUAUAAUUGAUAUAUAUGUAGAUAUAUUUAAUAAAGUCUAAAGGAAUAUAAAGUUUAGACAAGAAAUAAUCGAUUCGAUCGUAAGAGUCGGAGAGUUAACUUUGGCGCUUCUUGUCAUGUUCUAGUGACAGGCGACUGUUUUGUAUCAUUUGUGCACCCAGGUAAAGGUGUCAAAAGCAAUAGGCAUUUUCCACGAGUCUUGGUUCGCUGCUAGUUAUUUGGAGUUUUGAUUAAAAGUAAAAAUUUCACUAGAUGUUUAGUAAAUGACACUAAAUUUUAUAUUUUUGCAUCGCGUGCCAUUAUAGAGGUGCUCUUCUUCCUUCUUCUUUGGACCAACUUUAGAUCAACUUGAUUAUUACAUAAAAUAUUUUGCCUUGCAUAGCUAGCGAUAUUCAAUUGCUUAAUCUGAUAACUGAUCACAAGAACGUGAGAUUCAUGAUUUACUAAUAUUCCAAAAAACAAACUGACUAACGUCUGAUGUUCAUGUGCACAUUUGUUUCAACUAAAACAAGUUUAUAAAUUUGCUUUCUUAGCUUUUUUAUUUUUACAUGUAAAUUCUAGAGUUGUCUAGGUGAAUAGCUUUUUUAUUUUAUUUAAAUUUUUUUGUUUUUAAAGAAGGAACCUCCAGCAGGAAAGAGCCAUAAGGCUAAUAUCCAUUACAUGUUCCAUCAUCACAUCCGUUGGUGUAUCCGAUCUCCAAACCCUAGAAUAAAAACCUAUCAAUAAACUAACCAAUUUAAUGAACUACACCUCAAUCUCAAACUAAUUGUGUCAGCUAUAUAAACCGCCACAUUCGUUCACUUCAAUAUACAGGACCAAAUAUAAAUGAAACAACAUCCCAAGUCUCCCUAAAUGGGGAGGGUUGGGUUGGCUGACUGCCAAAAUAUGAUCAAUUGUCUGAACAUUGUCAAAACAUAUAUGACAGAUAACUACACUAAAGAAAAAAAUACCGAGACAAUAAAAAAUAAUUGGCGAGGGUUCGAUUCUCCGUGCAAUCCCCUCCCCCAUUUUCCCUUUAAAACAAAAAUUGAAAACAUAGAUAAAGAAAGUAAGGCAAGAAAAUAUCAAAGAAAAUAAAACACAGACCUGUAUUUGGCCUGCCCAUGAGCUCGAAGUUCAGCUUGAUAUUUGCUCUUGCAAGUAUCCAAAGGAUAUAAUAUAAUAUAGUUGUGCUUAGCAAAGAUCCUACCGCACCAGAAGUUGCCUCAGCCAAAGACUCCAUAUUUAAAGCCAUAAUAGAAUACCCUUUAUCUAAACAACAGCAAAGAAUCAAGAACAAGUAAAUUUAACUGAAUUUUUGAAGAAAUCUUUAGGGAAAGGAAGCAGAUAGUGGUGGGAUUGAGGUGCUGGCACUUUGCAAGAAAAGUGGGCGUGACAAAGAUUGGCGUCUGAAAGAUUAAGUUGGGUUUUUAAAAUCUCUAAGUAUGCACAUUGGGAGUCGGAACGGGAUG
rnacentral:lncRNA from 1 species